rnacentral:tRNA from 1 species
AACGGGGUAGUUUAUUUAUAGAAUUAGUGUUUUGCGUUCGCUAGGUGGAGUUAUCUCUCUGUUA